AUGCUCACUUUGGCAGCACAUAUAGUAAAAUUGGGAUGCUACAGAGAAGAUUAGCAAUGCCCCUAUGCAAGGAUGACACCCAUUGCUCUUGUAUUACCUGCUCCU
ensembl:snRNA U6 U6 spliceosomal RNA